UUUUCAUCCCAAUUCUGUUUGAUUUUUGAUUGGUGGAGGAAUAUGAGUUUGGAAAAAUCGAGAAAUCACUUAUUGGCGGAAAAUCGAGAAAUCCAGAAAUCGGUGAACCUUUUCUCAAAUGUUGGCUUCCGUUGACACUUCCAUUUUUAGUUUAUUCCUUGACAAUUUGUGUGUAUUGUUAUUAUUAGGUACAUUUAAUGUAAUUGAAAGAUUUUGUUUCUCUUGUAUGAGUUUUAUCCAUCAAUGACAAUGAAAUCAUUUUGUUUUUAUCAUUGUGGUUCCCUGG
rnacentral:lncRNA from 1 species